GCUGUCCGAUAGCACAAAAGAAAGCCAUCCUCCACUAGACCGCAUAUGAACCAAGCUGCACUGUUCAGUGGACUGCCAUGGACCGACUAGCUGGUCCAUGGUGAACUGGGCAGUAUUUAGGCCACCUUUGGGCUUGGUUUUGGCUUGAUUUGGGUCCAAUUUGAAUAGGCAUUGGGCUUGGAUUUGGACCACCUUUGGGUCUCCAUUCAUGAUCUAUUUUAAGUCUGAUUUGCUCCUAAUUUGAGUCUUUUUAACCUACGAAUCAAGCUCUUUAUAUUAACGAUCAUCUUUUCUACAAAAGAUAAAUGGAAGUAUCAAUUUUUAAAAAAUAAAGA
rnacentral:lncRNA from 1 species